GGAAGAGCUGUGUAGCUCAGUGGCUGAGCAUCUGCCUUGCAAGCAGAAGGUCCCAGGUUCAGUUCCUGGCAUCUCCA